rnacentral:lncRNA from 1 species
AUAUCAAUGUCUUAAUAUUUGCAUGUUUGUGUAAACUAUAUUUUAAUUUAUUUCAGGUAAUUGUCAAGUCUGGACCAGGAACUUUUCUUAGUCUGGCUGUUUAUGACAAUUAUAUCUUCUGGUCUGACUGGGGACGAAGAGCUAUUUUGCGUUCUAACAAGUACACAGGAGGAGAAACAAAAAUUCUUCGGUCUGAUAUUCCACAUCAGCCAAUGGGAAUCAUAGCUGUUGCUAAUGACACCAAUAGCUGUGAACUCUCUCCAUGUGCAUUACUGAAUGGAGGUUGCCAUGACCUUUGCCUUUUAACACCUGAUGGAAGAGUGAAUUGCUCCUGUAGAGGGGACCGAGUAUUGUUAGCUAACAACAGAUGUGUGAG